CAUGAGGGACGACCCUCAUGCCCUUUUUCCAACCUGCCGGGACGACCCGC
rnacentral:ncRNA from 1 species